GAAUUGAAGCUUUAAAGAAGCUUUUUAUUUACAUUAAAAAUAUUACUGUAAUUCAGUACAAUUUAUUUAAUAUUUAAUUGUUGUUUAAGAUUUAUAAAAGUAAUUUUGUUUUAUUAUUAAUUAGAAAAAUUAUUAUUAGUUAUAGAUUAUUAGUAUAGUGAUUGAAUUUUAUUAUUAUUAUAAAAGAAAAAUUUAUUUUUUGUACCUUGUGGAUCAGGGUUUAUUAAUUAAAAAUUAAUUAUUUAUUUUUCUCGAAUUUAAAAGAGUUAAUUAAUUAUUUAUUUAAAUGUUAAAUAAUUUUUUAUGAUAAUUAAUUAGAGGUGAAAUGUUAUUCGAUUUUAAUUAUAUCUAGUUUUUUAAGAAAAGAAUUUAAUUCUAUUAUUAUUUAUUAAGCAAUUUAUUUUUAAUUCUUAAGUUUUAAUAUUAAAUAUUUAAUGGGAUUAGCUUUUAAUUAUAUUUUUAUAAUAAUAAAAUUUAUUUAUGUUUUGUAUAAUUUGAAUUGUUAAUCUUUAAUAAAUUAAUAUUUAGUUAUUUUAAUUAAAAGAUUUUUUUUUAUUUAAUUAUUUUAUUAAAAUAAAGUAUUUAAUUUUAAUUAUUCUUGUUAUUAUGAUAUAAUUAGUAAUAAUAGUUAAUUUUGUUUUUAUUUGCAAGAUUAAUAAAAGGAAUUCGGCAAAAUUAUUUUCUGCCUGUUUAUUAAAAACAUGUCCUUUUGAUAAUAAUAAAAGGUCUAAUCUGCUCAAUGAGAAUUUAAAUAGCCGCAGUAUAUUGACUGUGCAAAGGUAGCAUAAUAAUUAGUUUUUUAAUUGAGAACUUGUAUGAAUGAUUGGACAAGAAAAUUUCUGUCUCUUAUUAAUUUUUAUGAAUUUAAUUUUUAAGUUAAAAUGCUUAGAUGUUUGUAAAAGACGAGAAGACCCCAUAGAGUUUUAUUUUUAUUAAAUUUUAGUAUAAUAAUUUAAAAUUAAAAUUAGUUGGGGUGACUAGAAGAUUUAAUUAACUCUUUAAAUUAAAAUCAUUUAUUUGUGAAUUUUAAGUCUAAUUUUUUAAGUUUAAAUUAAAUUACCUUGGGGAUAACAGCGUGAUUUCUUUUUAGAGUUCUUAUCAAAUAAGAAGAUUGCGACCUCGAUGUUGGAUUAAAAUUUGUUUUAGGUGAAGAGGCUUAAAAAUUAAGUCUGUUCGACUUUUAAAAUUUUACAUGAUCUGAGUUUAAAUCGGUGUAAGCCAGGUUGGUUUCUAUCUUUAUAAAAAUUUAAUAUUUUAGUACGAAAGGACCAAUUAUUUAAUAUAUUAUUUAUUUUUGAACAAUAUUAUU
rnacentral:rRNA from 1 species